rnacentral:rRNA from 1 species
AGAGUUUGAUCAUGGCUCAGAACGAACGCUGGCGGCAGGCUUAACACAUGCAAGUCGAACGCUCUCUUCGGAGAGAGUGGCAGACGGGUGAGUAACGCGUGGGAACCUACCUAGAGGUGCGGAAUAACUUGAGGAAACUCGUGCUAAUACCGCAUACGCCCUUCGGGGGAAAGAUUUAUCGCCUUUAGAUGGGCCCGCGUUGGAUUAGCUAGUUGGUGAGGUAACUGCUCACCAAGGCAACGAUCCAUAGCUGGUCUGAGAGGAUGAUCAGCCACACUGGGACUGAGACACGGCCCAGACUCCUACGGGAGGCAGCAGUGGGGAAUAUUCGGCAAUGGGCGCAAGCCUGACCGAGCCAUGCCGCGUGAGUGACGAAGGCCUUAGGGUUGUAAAGCUCUUUUGGCGGGGAAGAUAAUGACUGUACCCGCAGAAUAAGUCCCGGCUAACUUCGUGCCAGCAGCCGCGGUAAUACAAAGGGGACUAGCGUUGUUCGGAAUCACUGGGCGUAAAGCGCACGUAGGCUGAUAUUUAAGUUAGGGGUGAAAUCCCGGGGCUCAACCUCGGAACUGCCUCUAAUACUGGAUAUCUGGAGUCCGAGAGAGGUGAGUGGAAUUCCUAGUGUAGAGGU